rnacentral:tRNA from 1 species
GCAGUGGUGGUUCAGUGGUAGAAUUCUCUCCUUCCAUGUGGAAGACCUGGGUUUGAGCCCUGACCAAUGCA